AGGCCAAAGAACUUAGAUAUGUCGCUUAAAGCCGGUGAGUUUUCUUCACAACAGUGUCCACUGCCCCUCCUGAGGUCCGUAUCACCUCCCAGGAAGAAUUUAUUUUUCACACUUUGGCAUUUUGUGUAGGAAUCACAAUGUGAGUAAAAAUAUCUCACAGUUUCUGCAGGGUAAGAAUCCAGUGUUGUCUCUGUAGUGGCUCCCGUCGCUGAUGAAGUGUGGGUUCGACCCCUGGCCUGGGAAUGUCUGUACGCCGAGGGUUCGGCCCUGAAAAGACCAAAAGAGAAAAAUCAUCUGCCAAGGGUAUAGACUGAAUAAUUAGGGAUGGAUUUUGAUACUGCUCAUAGCUGUCAACUUACUUAGCUGGGCAAGUCACUGACCAGCGAUGGCUUCAGUCCUGGGAGGCGCUGGCACAGGGGUGUCCCCAGCCACGUGUGGAGAAGAGGCACAGGCGGAAGACUGGGCAGGUGCUAGUCUGGGGCUGGUGGGAGAGUUAUUUCCUGAUCCAGCUUCUGCUGCUUCCAAAGGACUCAGAAUGCGGCAGCCUGGGAGGAAUGAGGCUGGGAGCUGGGGGAGCUGGGGCACCAAAGAGGGGCGGGUUCCCUGCGGACUGGAGAGGCUUCCAAUCUCCCGCCAGCACCUGGGGGCCUCAAACCGCAGAAACUCAAAUUCCCACAGUUCUGAAGGCUGAAGUCCAAGGGCAAGGUGUGGCAGGGCUGCUUUCCUCUGCGGCGUCUCGCCCCCUGUCCUCACAGGUCCCCUCCUCUGCCUGUUAGUGAUAAAUUUCCUCUUCUGAUCAGGACACUGGUCAUAGUGGAUCGGGGCCCACCCUAAUGACCUCAUGUUAACUUACCACUUGAAAUACCCCAUAUCCAAACGCAGUCACAUGCCGAGGAGCUGGGGUUAGAUUUCAACCUGUGAACUUGGGGGGCAUGCAGUUCCGCCCGUAACACCAAUUUUCAAUGGUUUUUCAGAUUCCUUUUUAAUGUGCCCCACAAGAGGGGGAAAACCCCAUUUUGAGCGCAAACACCCAAUGAAUCUACUUAUUUAUAAAUCAUAUUCUCCUGGACUAAUAUAUUUUGCACACUGGAAAGCAUACCCGUACAUAGACAAUUUAACGGGCAGACAAGAUGGAAAUAGAUGUUCUGUUUUGGGUCCCCUGGGACGGAGACCCCCUGGUCCUCAAAGGGGGACCAUUGCCUUUGGGGGGACCGAGUCUGGAUCUCCAGAUUGACACACUUAUUCCUUAGCUUUGAACACCUUCUGUAAGAUCCCAGCCACGGCUCCCGUCACCCUCUCUCUCUCGAAGGAAACGUGCCCUCCCUCCGGACCCGUCUCGUGUCAGUGUGUAGUUACCUCAGCAAUGGAAUUGCCUCCAGUUCCAAGUCCCAAGGGCACGCAUCCAUCCCCCCGCAGGCUCACCACCCCUGUGUUCCAUUCGCCCCCCCCCCCCAACCGUUUUCUAUUUGAUUGAGUUUACAUUCUUCCCGGCUCCUCACCGAGGCUGUGAACGCCCAGGGGGACAGGUUCGUCUUCGACUCUGUUUUCCUCGUGCCCAGCGUGGUGCUGGGGAGCAGCAGGGGCUUCCCAGAUUGCUGACGUCCUGGCUUUUCUACUUCAUCACAAGGCAAAACAGAAAAUUAACAACUCACUAUCGCUUUAGAGGUUAAAAAUUCAAGCCUUGCAAUUAAGCCAAAGAUAGAUAUGACUAUCUAUCACAAUAAAAAAUGAAUAGCCCUCUGAAUUGCCCUUGUAGAGAGGCCUCUGGGAGUAAAAAGACAUACAGGUCAAUACGUUUGACCGCUGUUGGUGUUCCCAGUGUGCAGGGCUCAGGGCUGCAGGCAAGGUGGUAUCCAGCCGCAACCUCAGCUCAGAGCUGCUGCAGGUGAAUUGACCUGUAAUGUUGCCUGAACUGUCAGCAGAAAAGCAAAGACAAGAUGUGAAAGUUAUCCUAAGGGGGAGGUCCAAGGACCAUGGCGAAGAGGCUGCCACAGUCCUGCCCACGGAGGAGAGGAAAAGCCUUGUUAGCGAGUGUCUGUUACGUGCCAGACACUGCUUAGCUUUCCCUGCCUGAGCUCCUUCAAUCCUCCAACACCACCAAGUAGGAAACAUCCGUGCUUCGCAGAUGCUGUUACUUCGAGACGUGAGGUAGUCGUCCCAGUAUCACAGAGCUAGGAGGGAGUGGAGGAGCCGGAUUUGAACCCGGGGCUGUCUGACGGGGGGAGACGGUGGCUUCAUCUAUCAUCCUGCUGGGACCGGUGGAUCCCAGGCGCUUCCCCAUCUUCCAGCAUCUUUCCUUGACUCUCUCACCUCUUCUAGGCAGUGCCUCUGCCCUAUUCCCCGGUGGCGCUCUCUUCUGAUCAAGGCGGGCUGGCUGGACAAAGGCGGUAAUUACUGACCGAGGACCAGCCCCCCUCUCUGGCGAUCGACGUCCAUUCAGACUCGGGUCUCGAGGGGACCGUGUCGGACCCAGGAUGGAGAGAGAACCAAGGGCGGGCAGGCCUGUAGGACCUUGCCAGAUCAUGUCAGGCUGGCAGCCGUCUCUCCUGGGCCGUAUGGAGGCAUGGUGGGUUUUGUGUGGCUUUUGUCUGGGUUUAGUCCCAACCUCAGUGGGAGACGAACGAUGGGCUAUUAGACACCCUUACCUUAGGCUAUGAUGGACAGAACACCAACACGCCUAAGAACAGACUCUAUCUGUUGCUUAAUUAGAAGGAGGAGGCGUGAGUUCUGCUUUAAAGAAGAGCCUCUCAGAGUUCCCCUUGUGGCUCAUGGAACCCGACUAGUAUCCAUGAGGACGCAGGUUCGAUCCCUGGCCUCGCUCAGUGGGUUAAGGAUCCGCUGUUGCUGCGAGUGGUAGUGUAGGUCGAAGAUGUGGCUUGGAUUCAGCAUUGCUGUGGUUGUGGUGUAGGCAGGCAGCUGCAGCCCCCAUUCAACCCCUAGCCUGGGAGCUUCCUACAUCACAGGUGUAGCCAUAAGAAAAAAAGAGAGCGAGAGAAGAGUCUUUCUCGUGGUGCUGGCCUUCCCUUCCUGGGUCACCUGGGAUUUGAGGUCGGUUGUGCUCUUGAGUAUGUUCUUAGUGAACUUAGUUCACUGGCCGGAGACUUUCCCUUGAGGUUUCUUUGCCAAUGGACCCGGCUUCUAGGGCCGAGUGGCUGGUGGGGCUUUGUGGGCUAAGGGAGAGCUCCCGGUAGGCCUCAUCAAAACUGCACACCUUGUCACCAGAGGGGGCUCUGGGCAUUUUGACACUGUCUGAAACCUGCCCUCUAGUCUUUCCAAGUCAAGGGGACAUCAUCUCUCCACUCUUUGGAGCCCCAUUCACCCUUGAAAAAACGGAUCAAAUUUUCAACUUGACAAUAAGUGCCAGGCAAAUGCCUUCAUGGGUGCAGAACCCCCGCCCCCGCAGGCUCAGUGAUGGACAGUGGGGGACACAGACUCUAAAACCGAAAAACAUCCCAAGAAAUAGCAACAACAAC
rnacentral:lncRNA from 1 species